rnacentral:rRNA from 1 species
AGAGUUUGAUCCUGGCUCAGGACGAACGCCGGCGGCGUGCCUAACACAUGCAAGUCGAGCGGAGUUGACAAGAGGAAGUUUUCGGAUGGAAUCUUGUUAAUUUAGCGGCGGACGGGUGAGUAACGCGUGAGCGACCAACCUUGCACAGGGGGAUAACGGACCGAAAGGUUCACUAAUACCGCAUGAGACCACGGUGUUGCAUGACACAGGGGUCAAAGGAGCAAUCCGGUGCAAGACGGGCUCGCGUCCGAUUAGGUAGUUGGAGGGGUAACGGCCCACCAAGCCUAUGAUCGGUAGCCGACCUGAGAGGGUGAUCGGCCACAUUGGAACUGAGAUACGGUCCAAACUCCUACGGGAGGCAGCAGUGGGGAAUAUUGGGCAAUGGGGGAAACCCUGACCCAGCAACGCCGCGUGAAGGAAGAAGGUUUUCGGAUUGUAAACUUCUGUCCUUGGUGAAGAGAAGAAGACGGUAGCCAAGGAGGAAGCCCCGGCUAACUACGUGCCAGCAGCCGCGGUAAUACGUAGGGGGCAAGCGUUGUCCGGAAUGAUUGGGCGUAAAGGGCGCGUAGGCGGCUUUAUAAGUCUGGAGUGAAAGUCCUCUUUUCAAGGGAGGAAUUGCUUUGGAAACUAUAGAGCUUGAGUGCAGGAGAGGUUAUCGGAAUUCCCGGUGUAGCGGUGAAAUGCGUAGAUAUCGGGAGGAACAUCGGUGGCGAAGGCGGGUAACUGGACUGCAACUGACGCUGAGGCGCGAAAGUGUGGGGAGCAAACAGGAUUAGAUACCCUGGUAGUCCACACGGUAAACGAUGAAUGCUAGGUGUAGGAGGUAUCGACCCCUUCUGUGCCGCAGUUAACACAAUAAGCAUUCCGCCUGGGGAGUACGGUCGCAAGAUUAAAACUCAAAGGAAUUGACGG